GACGAACGCUGGCGGCGUGCUUAACACAUGCAAGUCGAACGAUGAAGCCUAGCUUGCUAGGUGGAUUAGUGGCGAACGGGUGAGUAAUACGUGAGUAACCUACCUUCAACUCUGGGAUAAGCCUGGGAAACUGGGUCUAAUACCGGAUACGACCAAUCUCCGCAUGGGGUGUUGGUGGAAAGCGUUAUGUAGUGGUUAAAGAUGGGCUCCCGUCUUAUCCCCUUGUCGGAGAGGGGACGGCUCACCCACGCGACCACCGCGUUUCUGGCCGAGAAGCUGACCGCGCCCUUUGCGGAGGAAUUCGUUUUAGCCUCCUCGUGACUUUCUUUUUUUACUCCCCCUUUUUCUCGCUUUCUGAGUCCCCCCUCCCUUUCUCCGCCUUCCCCCUUUAUCUUUUUGGGGCCCCCCCCUUUGGAAUACGGGGCGGAUGCUCCCUGAGGGGGGGCGCCCCCCUCCCAAAGACUCCAAUUCGUUGAUCUUUUCCUUAUUUAUA
rnacentral:rRNA from 1 species